UCCCUGAUAUCUGAGUUGGUAAAGAAUCUGCCUGCAGUGUGGGAGACCUGGGUUCAAUUCCUAGGUUGGUAA
rnacentral:tRNA from 1 species